rnacentral:rRNA from 1 species
UACAGGGGGGGCAAGCGUUGUUCGGAAUUACUGGGCGUAAAGGGUUCGUAGGUGGCCAACUAAGUCAUACGUGAAAUCCCAAAGCUUAACUUUGGAACUGCGUCGGAUACUGGAUGGCUUGAAUUCGGGAGAGGGAUGCAGAAUUCCAGGUGUAGCGGUGAAAUGCGUAGAUAUCUGGAGGAAUACCGGUGGCGAAGGCGGCAUCCUGGACCGACAUUGACGCUGAGGAGCGAAAGCUAGGGGAGCAAACGGG